rnacentral:tRNA from 1 species
GCGGGUAUAGUUUAGGGGUAAAACAUGUCCUUCCCAAGGACAGGUCACGGGUUCGAAUCCCGUUACUCGCU